AUAGUACUCCCUCCGUCCAAAAAUACUUGUCAUCAAAAUGAAUAAGUAUUUUUAGUUCUAGAUGUAUUUUAGUUUUAUAUACAUUCCUUUUUAUCCAUUUUGAUGACAAAUAUUUUUGAAAAGAGGGAGUACAUA
rfam:Triticum aestivum genome assembly, contig: Triticum_aestivum_CS42_TGACv1_scaffold_472160_6AL